rnacentral:misc_RNA from 1 species
GAUGAAGAAACGUAGCGAAAUGCGAUAAGUAAUGUGAAUUGCAGAAUUCAGUGAAUCAUCGAAUCUUUGAACGCACCUUGCGCUCUUUGGUAUUCCGAAGAGCAUGCCUGUUUGAGUGUCAUGAAAAUAUCAACCUUGACUUGGGUUUUGUGCUCUAGUCUCGGCUUGGAAUUGGGUGCUUGCCGCUUUUACGAGCGGCUCACCUUAAAUGUAUUAGCUGGAUCUGUCUUUGAGACUUGGUUUGACUUGGCGUAAUAAGUAUUUCGCUAAGGACAUUCUUCGGAGUGGCCUCGUUUCUAGGACGCUUGUCCGCUUUCCAAUACAAGUUCCACCUCGUGGACAUGACUUUUUAUUAUCUGGCCUCAAAUCAGGUAGGACUACCCGCUGAACUUAAGCAUAUCAAUAAGCGGAGGA